rnacentral:rRNA from 1 species
AUUGAACGCUGGCGGCAGGCCUAACACAUGCACGUCGCGCGGAGCGGCGGACGGGUGCGUAAUGCCUAGGCAUCUGCCUGGUAGUGGGGGUUAACGUCCGGAAACGGGCGCUAAUACCGCAUAAUAUCAGAUGAGCCUAGGUCGGAUUAGCUAGUUGGUGGGGUAAAGGCCUACCAAGGCGACGAUCCGUAACUGGUCUGAGAGGAUGAUCAGUCACAAUGGAACUGAGACACGGUAAAGACUCCUACGGGAGGCAGGAGUGGGGAAUAUUGGACAAUGGGCGAAAGCCUGAUCCAUCCAUGCCGCGUGUGUGAAGAAGGUCUGCGGAUUGUAAAGCACUUUAAGUUGGGAGGCGUUACCAACAGAAUAAGCACCGGCUAACUUCGUGCCAGCAGCCGCGGUAAUAC